AACGACUCUCGGCAACGGAUAUCUCGGCUCUCGCAUCGAUGAAGAACGCAGCAAAAUGCGAUACUUGGUGUGAAUUGCAGAAUCCCGUGAAUCAUCGAGUUUUUGAACGCAAGUUGCGCCCGAAGCCUUCCGGCCUAGGGCACGUCUGCCUGGGUGUCACGC
rnacentral:rRNA from 1 species